CGAACGGGCCUGGAGACCUUCAGAAGUUCUUCCCUGAGGUUCUAGCACCCCUUCCUCUGGAAGCCUUAUUGGAAGAUGAGUGCGAAUAGGAUUUCCAUGAAGAAUUCCUGGAAAACUCCCUUCCUGGUUUAUAGCUCCUGCUUUUCCGAAAGGACCGAUCAUUGAAGCACUUGGUCUUCCAGGAGGAGGGAAAACUCUUCCUGCCUACUUGAGGUAAAAAUGCCUUUUUUCCAUCGGCAGCUUUUUGAAUAGCAUCUUCCAGAAUCUUACCAAAAAGGAGAUCCCCUUGGAACCGAAGGCCACACAGGGAAGCCUUACAGGCAUAGUCAGCACCCCACAAAUGAAGCCACAAGGCCCUUCUAGAAGCCACAGACAGGGCCAUACUCUUGGCAAUCAUGCGAGUGAUGUCCAGGGAGGCUUCCGAACAGAAUUCCGUGGCCAGGCUAAAGUCCUUG